UAAUACAUGCAAGUCGAACGAACCAUCCUGUUGAUUGAAGCUUGCUUCAUGAUUCAGAUCUUGGUGAGUGGCGGACGGGUGAGUAACACGUGGGUAACCUGCCCAAAAGUGGGGGAUAACAUUUGGAAACAAGUGCUAAUACCGCAUAACAACUACUUUCACAUGAUCGUAGCUUGAAAGAUGGCUCUGCUAUCGCUUUUGGAUGGACCCGCGGCGUAUUAGCUAGUUGGUGAGGUAAUAGCUCACCAAGGCAAUGAUACGUAGCCGGACCUGAGAGGGUAAUCGGCCACAUUGGGACUGAGACACGGCCCAAACUCCUACGGGAGGCAGCAGUAGGGAAUCUUCCACAAUGGGCGAAAGCCUGAUGGAGCAAUGCCGCGUGAGUGAAGAAGGUUUUCAGAUCGUAAAACUCUGUUGUUGAAGAAGAACAUGCGUGAGAGUAACUGUUCACGUACUGACGGUAUUCAACCAGAAAGCCACGGCUAACUACGUG
rnacentral:rRNA from 1 species